rnacentral:rRNA from 1 species
UACAGAGGGGGCAAGCGUUGUUCGGAAUUACUGGGCGUAAAGGGCGCGUAGGCGGCCUUCUAAGUCGAACGUGAAAUCCCUGGGCUCAACCCAGGAACUGCGUCCGAUACUGGAAGGCUUGAAUCCGGGAGAGGGAUGCGGAAUUCCAGGUGUAGCGGUGAAAUGCGUAGAUAUUGGGAGGAACACCAGUGGCGAAGGCGGCUCACUGGACCGGUUCUGACGCUGAUGCGCGAAAGCGUGGGGAGCAAACGGG